GCUUGCCAGAUGCCACAGACGGACCUGAACCUCGAAAAGGUGGCCGUUGGUGUUUCGACAGAGGAUCAGCGGCAUCGAUGGGGGCAGUUUUUUCUGACAAGUUAUGACACGACUGAAUACAUGACUAUGAAGGCAUCGUACAUGAUGAUGAGGUCCGGCGUGCGGACUAACCUUUCGUGGUUGCUGCUCAACGCUCACCUCACGGACACCACAGGACGCUGUCUCAAGGAAGGGCCCUUCGAACGCGUGAAAAAGUUCAGACAGUUUCAUUAUCAACCACGGCCGUCGCCUGGUUAGCCAUGGACGCUGCUACGGCUACGAAAUAGACGACGGCGGGCCAGCACAGUACCCCUGUGUUUUGCGUAGUGUACUGCAACAUAUGUGUGGGACCUUGUUUUCUCCUGACUCGCGUUACCAGGUUAAAAAAUAAACGCGCGUGAGCUUUCUGA